ensembl:miRNA MIR367 microRNA 367
CCGUCACUGUUGCUAAUGUGCAACUCUGUACACGACCUGGAAUUGCACUUUAGCAAUGGUGACGG